rnacentral:sRNA from 1 species
GGUGGCUUUGUCCACUAUGGUGAAGUGACCAAUGACUUUGUCAUGCUGAAAGGCUGUGUGGUGGGAACCAAGAAGCGGGUGCUCACCCUCCGCAAGUCCUUGCUGGUGCAGACGAAGCGGCGGGCUCUGGAGAAGAUUGACCUUAAGUUCAUUGACACCACCUCCAAGUUUGGCCAUGGCCGCUUCCAGACCAUGGAGGAGAAGAAAGCAUUCAUGGUGAGCACCUCUGCCUGUCCCCCUCGCUGGGUGCGGUGGCUUGGGCAGCCGCCUGCCUUUGGCUCCAGCCGGGGUAGGGGUGGUCUUGAUGCCUUAGGCCUCUCUUGUGGCUGUGGAGACUGGCCCAGAGUCUUGGUCCCCUCUAGAGUGGGCAUCUGCUGUCACCUGUCAUCUUCUACCUCUGACCACUGCCUCUCUCCCCACAGGGACCACUCAAGAAAGACCGAAUUGCAAAGGAAGAAGGAGCUUAAUGCCAGGAACAGAUUUUGCAGUUGGUGGGGUCUCAAUAAAAGUUAUUUUCCACUGA